UACCUGCAGCUCGAGUGGUAACCGCUAUUAUUGGGCCUAAAGCGUCCGUAGCCGGUUUGGUAAAUAUCUGGGUAAAUCGUGAGGCUUAACUUCACGAAUUUCGGAUAGACUGCCAGACUUGGGAUCGGGGGAGGUCAGAGGUACUCCAGGGGUAGCGGUGAAAUGUUGUAAUCCUUGGAGGACCACCGGUAGCGAAGGCGUCUGACUAGGAACGAGUCCGACGGUGAGGGACGAAGCCCUGGGGCGCAAACCGGAUUAGAUACCCGGGUAGUCCAGGGUGUAAACGAUGUGGGCUUUGUAUUGGAGGUCCCACGUGGGCGUCCAGUGCAGAAGAGAAGUUGUUAAGCCCACCGCCUGGGAAGUACGGUCGCAAGGCUGAAACUUAAAGGAAUUGGCGGGGGAGCACAGCAACGGGAGGAGCGUGCGGUUU
rnacentral:rRNA from 1 species